GUUUGACCUCGGAUCAGGUAGGGUUACCCGCUGAACUUAAGCAUAUCAAUAAGCGGAGGAAAAGAAACCAACAGGGAUUGCCUUAGUAACGGCGAGUGAAGCGGC
rnacentral:rRNA from 1 species